UGGGAUUCUGGAGCCCAGAGAAAGGCAGCGG
rnacentral:piRNA from 1 species